rnacentral:misc_RNA from 1 species
GUAUUUUAUUUAUGGUUGCUUUUUUACGGCAACUAUACAUUUGACAUUCUAUUACAUUCGUGGUUUGUGGAAAAAUACAUAGAUCCGAAGACCUACAAUUGGUUCACAGGUGUGUGGAUAUUUAUGAAGGUGUGCACAUGCCCAGGGGCCAGCAACAACCAACAUGAAAGUAUCAAUAAUGAUCCUUCCGCAGGUUCACCUACGGAAA